GUGCUGGUGUGUGCAGAAUAUAUACUAAAAUUAGAACAAUACAUAGAUUAGCACGCCCCCCUGGGCAAGAAUGACAUGCAAAUUCAAGAAGCUUUCAAUAUUUAA